GAAAUGCGAUAAUUAAUGUGAAUUGCAGAAUUCAGUGAAUCAUCGAGUCUUUGAACGCACAUUGCGCCCCCUGGUAUUCCGGGGGGCAUGCCUGUCCGAGCGUCAUUGCUGCCCUCAAGCACGGCUUGUGUGUUGGGCUUCCGUCCCUGGCAACGGGGACGGGCCCAAAAGGCAGUGGCGGCACCAUGUCUGGUCCUCGAGCGUAUGGGGCUUUGUCACCCGCUCCCGUAGGUCCAGCUGGUAGCUAGCCUCGCAACCAAUCUUUUUAACCAGGUUGACCUCGGAUCAGGUAGGGAUACCCGCUGAACUUAAGA
rnacentral:misc_RNA from 1 species